rnacentral:rRNA from 1 species
CCUACGGGAGGCAGCAGUCGAGAAUCAUUCACAAUGGGGGAAACCCUGAUGGUGCGACGCCGCGUGGGGGAAUGAAGGUCUUCGGAUUGUACACCCCUGUCAUGUGGGAGCAAAUUAAAAAGAUAGUACCACAAGAGGAAGAGACGGCUAACUCUGUGCCAGCAGCCGCGGUAAUACAGAGGUCUCAAGCGUUGUUGGGAAUCACUGGGCGUAAAGCGUGCGUAGGCUGUUUCGUAAGUAGUGUGUGAAAGGCGCGGGCUCAACCCGCAGACGGCACAUGAUACUGCGAGACUAGAGUAAUGGAGGGGGAACCGGAAUGCUCGGUGUAGCAGUGAAAUGCGUAGAUAUCGAGAGGAACACUCGUGGCGAAGGCGGGUUCCUGGACAUUAACUGACGCUGAGGCACGAAGGCCAGGGGAGCGAAAGGGAUUAGAUACCCUUGUAGUC